GUGAAUCAUCGAAUCUUUGAACGCAUAUUGCACUCUCUGGUAUUCCGGAGAGUAUGCCUAUUUGAGGGUCAUUUGAAAUAAUAUAAAUUUUGAUAGUUUCUUGGAAUCAAAAAUGGGACGGUCCAGCAUGCGUGUGGUUGUCGCCUAAAAUGCAAGACAAGCCCAGUUCUUUUGUUGCGUGAUACGUUCAGUUACCUGUCGACUUCCCAAG
rnacentral:misc_RNA from 1 species